rfam:Oryza nivara chromosome 3, whole genome shotgun sequence.
GAGCACCUCUCCCUCCGCCCACUCGGCCACCACGUGGCAGCCGAGCGAGGGCCUCGGGGCAGCUC